UGGGGAAUAUUGGACAAUGGGGGCAACCCUGAUCCAGCAAUACCGCGUGUGUGAAGAAGGCCUUCGGGUUGUAAAGCACUUUAGUUGGGGAAGAAGGCUAGUAGUUUAAGAGAUGACUAGUUUGACGGUACCCAAAGAAUAAGCACCGGCUAACUCUGUGCCAGCAGCCGCGGUAAUACAGAGGGUGCAAGCGUUAAUCGGAGUUACUGGGCGUAAAGGGCGCGUAGGCGGUUAUUUAAGUUAGAUGUGAAAUCCCUGGGCUUAACCUAGGAACUGCAUCUGAUACUGGGUAACUAGAGUAUUGUAGAGGGUAGUGGAAUUUCCGGUGUAGCGGUGAAAUGCGUAGAGAUCGGAAGGAACACCAGUGGCGAAGGCGGCUACCUGGACAAAUACUGACGCUGAGGCGCGAAAGCGUGGGGAUCAAACA
rnacentral:rRNA from 1 species